GAAAUGCGAUAAGUAAUGUGAAUUGCAGAAUUCAGUGAAUCAUCGAAUCUUUGAACGCACAUUGCGCCCCUUGGUAUUCCGGGGGGCAUGCCUGUUCGAGCGUCAUUAUCACCCCUCAAGCUUAGCUUGGUGUUGGGACCCGCCCGUCAGAAGGCGGUCCCUAAAAGCAGUGGCGGUGCCAUCUGGCUCUACGCGUAGUAAUAAUCCUUCCUCGCGACAGGGUCCCGGUGGUGUCCUGCCAGAACCUCACUUUUAUCAUGAUUGACCUCGGAUCAGGUAGGGAUACCCGCUGAACUUAA
rnacentral:misc_RNA from 1 species